rnacentral:rRNA from 1 species
UUUUGGACAAUGGGCGAAAGCCUGAUCCAGCAAUGCCGCGUGCAGGAAGAGGGCCUUCGGGUUGUAAACUGCUUUUGUACGGAACGAAACGGUCUGCCCUAAUACGGCGGGCUAAUGACGGUACCGUAAGAAUAAGCACCGGCUAACUACGUGCCAGCAGCCGCGGUAAUACGUAGGGUGCGAGCGUUAAUCGGAAUUACUGGGCGUAAAGCGUGCGCAGGCGGUUAUGUAAGACAGUUGUGAAAUCCCCGGGCUCAACCUGGGAAUUGCAUCUGUGACUGCAUAGCUAGAGUACGGUAGAGGGGGAUGGAAUUCCGCGUGUAGCAGUGAAAUGCGUAGAUAUGCGGAGGAACACCGAUGGCGAAGGCAAUCCCCUGGACCUGUACUGACGCUCAUGCACGAA